CUGGCAACAACACGCCUGAGACACAGCCAAAGGUGAGCGGCUGUUAAAAUCAGCAUGGACUGAGUACUUUUUUAUACAGUUUAUGGUGCAGACACAUAAGGAAAAAUAAAAGCCGUGCUCUUCUUUCGGUGUGUUGCUUGCGUGUUUGGCUGCAAGCAAAACAAAAAGUAACUUUUGCCAUAAUCGGGUUACAAAAAGUAUCGAUUGAAGCUCCGGUUUGACUGGAGACGUUUCGAUUCUACUGGACACUGGGCUGUUUCGGUCGGUACCAUAAAAGGCUCACUACCCCCCUGGAGACUCUGCUUGACACCACACGCAGCUCAGACUCAAACUGGAAGAUUGCCCAAUCCCCUGCCAGCCACUCUGCUCUGUCAAAUCCUUUGUCAGCACGUUCUAUUAAAAGUAAUUGGUACUCC